rnacentral:lncRNA from 1 species
AAGUGCUGGGAUUAAAGGCAUGGUCCUUUUAUUCUUGUUCCUGUCUGUAUUGUUAACCUGACAGUUAAUCAAGCUUUCUCGUCCUUCUUCUGCUGUGUUUCCCUAUCUAUACUCUAGUCUGUCUAGCUUCACUAGUUGACUCUCUUUCUGCUUUUCCAAGAUGCCAGGCCCCUUCUACCUCAGAGCCUUUGCAUGCACUGUUUGUUCUCUUUGCUUGCAACUGGGAGCCUCAAGUAUCCCCAUGGCUCCUGCCCUUCGAUUUAGAAGUUACCAUCAGUAUGGACUUUCCCAACCUCUGUGUCCUAGUUAGGGUUUCCAUUGCUGUGAACAGACACCAUGACCAAGGCAACUCUUAUAAAGGACAAACAUUUAAUUAGAACUGACCUCCAGGUUCUGAGGAUCAGUCCAUUAUCAUCAAGGCUAGAAGCAUGGCAGCAUCCAUGCAGGCCUGGGGCUGGAGGAUUUGAGAGUUAGUUCUAUGUCUUGAUUCAAAGGCAGCCAGAAGACUGUCUUCCACUCUGGGAGGAGCCUGGGCAUAGAAUGAGACCUUCAAAGCCACCCCUACAGUGACACACUUCCUCUAGUAAAGUCGUACUUUCUAAUAGUGUCACUUCCCAUGGGCCAAGCAUAUUCAAACCACCACAUACUGGAAGCCCUAGCCCAUUCCCAGAGCCGCAUAUCCCCUUCCUCCAUCCUUUUUUAUUUAGAGCACUUGCCUUCUUCAAGUACAGUGUACCAUUUACAUUUUUAUUAAUGUGUGUGUCUUUCCUCCUACUGGACUGUAAGGUCCAGGAGAAGGUUGUAUGUUGAACAGUACCUGGAACAUGCUCAGUAGGGCUUUGAGCUCACUGAGGAUGGGGUGAGAAAGUGGUAGAAUCAUAUACCUGCCUCUUGCUGAGGUCCCAGACUGACUGGUUGAGAAUCAAAACCCAAACACAGAAAAAUAAUGAGAUUGUUUGAAUCAAUAGUUGUUAGUAGUGGGUAAAUGGUCUCAGAGUAAGGAUUUAAUAGAACCCAGGCUGGUGAGAUGGCUUGGCUAGUAAAUUUGCUUGCCACCAAGCAUGACAACCCAAGUUCCAUCCUUGGGAUCCACAUGGUGGAAGGAGAGAACUAGUUGUUCUCUGGCUUCCGCAUGUACAACAAGGCAAGCAUGGCCUGCUCUCCUUGAUGUACACACACAAAAAUAAAUGAAAAAGAACUUGCUCAAGUGUGAGAAGUCUGGCACUGAGGGUGAAAGGCUAAAUACUGUUAGAGACUAGGACGAUUCUUAAAAAUUAGACUAUGAAGUAAUUCCUACAGUGGAAGACUUCCAUUGAUGUUAUCUUCCAGAUAUUAAUUUCUUGUUUUGUAUAUGUUUAAAACUAUGUGGUUGCUUGUCUUGUGUGGUAGGGGACACUUAUUUGAUGGGUGUGUGUAUGUGUGUGUGUGUGUGUGUGUGUGUGUGUGUGUGUGUGUGUAAAACUCAGAAUAGAAAUGAAGUUGAACCCCUGAGGCCUGGUUCACUUGAAUCCAGAUCCAAGCAAGACUUGUGAUUUCUUUUAAGAGGGAGUGAAGAUUGAAGAGGCUGAGUUGUCCAGGGGUGAAGGACUGGCUGGAGAAGUCACUCACAUUCAUAAGUCCAAGUCUGAGUAUUUUACCACAGUACCUGGUACAGACUCUGGCAGAUAACUGCUCCAGAUAACUAUUUCCGGGGUCAGUGCCUGGCUGGGGCAGUUACUCUACCUCAGCUGAGGUUUGGAAGGAAGCGGGAAAGAAUGAAAUUCACAAAGGUAUUUUCAAUAGCAUUAUUUAGUAUAUGGUGCUGUCUGUACAGCCUUAGGAAAGAAACACUUGUGUGCCAGCCCCCCACCACUCCAGCAGGAGACGAGAGAGGAAGAACUUAAAUGAGGAAGAUUUACUUUGGCUCGUGGUUUUAAAUGUUUCAGUCUCAGGUUAACCCACUGGGUAGUUUGAUGGGCUUGUAACAAGGCAGAAUUUAGGAUUGUGUGGUGAAGCAGACAUGCUUACAGUGCAGUCAGGAGGCAGAAACAAACGAGCGAGGAACCAGGGGCACCAUAACACCCUGUGAAAGCAAGGCCCAGGAGCCUGCGUCCUUCAGACCUCACCUCUUAAAGUUCCUGCCAUUUCCAGUAGAUCAUUAAUCUAUGAGUUCUCUCAUGGAUCAAUCCAUUGAUGAGGCCAGAGCCCUUAUCUUCUAAGCCGUUCACAGGAGCUCAUCUGCUGCACUGGGGACCAAGCCUCCAACAGCCAGCUUUGAUAGACACUGCAGAUCCAUCCGUUCCACAACCACCAUGUCUGUGUUCAAGAAAAUAGCAAAGUUCAACUCUGAACGUUCUGAGGUUUCAGAGCCGUCUUUUAGGCAACAGCGGGAGAGCUGCUGUGAAUUAGGCGCUUGCCACUCUGGGAAUAGGGCAGGUGAACUAGUGGCUCCCCCAAGAACCAUAGAUGUGUGCACAUGUGAGGUCAUGUGAGGGUAAUAACUAGGCAUUAGUGACAUUUCUCAUGGAGUUGCAUUGUCUAGUGUUCAUUUUUGUUAAAUAUUAGGUGGAACAAAGUGC